AGCCUGGAAAAAAACAGACCUUGCAGAGAACAGAACAACUCAUUACAGAAGUUCCCAGGUGUAUUCAUUGUUCCUGCAGAAACUCCUGGACUUUUUGUAAAUGUUUUUUAGAUUGUGACCUUUUGAUUUGCUGGGAUUGUGCUCGGCUUUGGAUCCACUCUGCUGCUCAGACCUGUCUGUUCCUGCAGUUACCCAGAACCAGCUGCUCUAAUCCGACAGCAGUUUUGCUUCUGAGCAGUUCUGGCCUUUGUAUUUGUUUUGGAAGAACAAUUCCAGAAGGAGCGGAGGUUGCCAGAGCAGGAGAUGCAUCUCCCGGGUGUUCAGGCUUCCCUGGAGUCAGAUACCAUUCAUCCAGAAGCUGAGCUGUCACCCCAUGUACUCCCCUGCUGAGGGAGGAUUCCCCUCUCUGGAUACCCCUGUCCAUCCCAGGACAGUCUGUCUGGCUGUCCCUGAAGUGUCCUGAGUUGGGAAUUGCUGGUUUUUUAUGGACUUGUUCCUGGGGCCGGGAGAGCUCCCUGCCAGCCUCCCCUGGGAGCUGUAUCCCAGAGGGAGAGGGGUGGCUGUGCCCUUCCUCAGCUGCACCACAAGAGCCCGGCUUGCACUGUUCCUGUAUUCUGUGGGAUGGGUUUUAAUUCCUGUUGUGAAGCAACAGCUUUUCCCUGGGCUUUGCUAAGCGGGGACUCUGCUGACAGGAGGAACAGCUUGAGUUCCCUCUGCUCGUGGCAUUGUCAGAAAUGGAUGGAGAUGGGUCAUGGUCACACUGCUUUUGAUGUUGAAGAAUGCUGAGCCCAGCUUGACACGUCAAUCCCAAAACCCAACAUCCCAGUCCAAUUAUCAGAAAAAAAUUAUUUAUUUUCCCUAUAC